ACGGGAGGCAGCAGUGGGGAAUAUUGGGCAAUGGGCGCAAGCCUGACCCAGCAACGCCGCGUGAAGGAAGAAGGCUUUCGGGUUGUAAACUUCUUUUAUCAGGGACGAUAAUGACGGUACCUGAUGAAUAAGCUCCGGCUAACUACGUGCCAGCAGCCGCGGUAAUACGUAGGUGGCAAGCGUUAUCCGGAUUUACUGGGUGUAAAGGGCGCGUAGGCGGGGAUGCAAGUCAGGUGUGAAAUCUAUGGGCUUAACCCAUAAACUGCAUUUGAAACUGUAUCUCUUGAGUGUCGGAGAGGUAGAUGGAAUUCCUAGUGUAGCGGUGAAAUGCGUAGAUAUUAGGAGGAACACCGGUGGCGAAGGCGACUUUCUGGACUGUAACUGACACUGAGGUACGAAAGCGUGGGGAGCAAACAGGAUUAGAUACCCUGGUA
rnacentral:rRNA from 1 species